rnacentral:rRNA from 1 species
GAUGAACGCUGGCGGCGUGCCUAAUACAUGCAAGUCGAGCGAACAGACGAGGAGCUUGCUCCUUUGACGUUAGCGGCGGACGGGUGAGUAACACGUGGGUAACCUACCUAUAAGACUGGGAUAACUUCGGGAAACCGGAGCUAAUCCCGGAUAAUAUUUCGAACCGCAUGGUUCGAUAGUGAAAGAUGGCUUUUCUAUAACUUCUAGAUGGACCUGCGCCGUAUUAGCUAGUUGGUAAGGUAACGGCUUACCAAGGCAACGAUACGUAGCCGACCUGAGAGGGGGAUAGGCCACACUGGAACUGAGACACGGUCCAGACGCCUACGGGAGGCAGCAGUAGGGAAUCUUCCGCAAUGGGCGAAAGCCUGACGGAGCAACGCCGCGUGAGUGAUGAAGGUCUUCGGAUCGUAAAACUCUGUUAUUAGGGAAGAACAAACGUGUAAGUAACUGUGCACGUCUUGACGGUACCUAAUCAGAAAGCCACGGCUAACUACGUG